rnacentral:rRNA from 1 species
CCUACGGGAGGCAGCAGUGGGGAAUAUUGCACAAUGGGCGAAAGCCUGAUGCAGCGACGCCGCGUGAGGGAUGACGGCCUUCGGGUUGUAAACCUCUUUCAGCAGGGAAGAAGCGAAAGUGACGGUACCUGCAGAAGAAGCGCCGGCUAACUACGUGCCAGCAGCCGCGGUAAUACGUAGGGCGCAAGCGUUGUCCGGAAUUAUUGGGCGUAAAGAGCUCGUAGGCGGCUUGUCACGUCGGUUGUGAAAGCCCGGGGCUUAACCCCGGGUCUGCAGUCGAUACGGGCAGGCUAGAGUGUGGUAGGGGAGAUCGGAAUUCCUGGUGUAGCGGUGAAAUGCGCAGAUAUCAGGAGGAACACCGGUGGCGAAGGCGGAUCUCUGGGCCAUUACUGACGCUGAGGAGCGAAAGCGUGGGGAGCGAACAGGAUUAGAUACCCUGGUAGUCCACGCCGUAAACGGUGGGAACUAGGUGUUGGCGACAUUCCACGUCGUCGGUGCCGCAGCUAACGCAUUAAGUUCCCCGCUGGGGAUCGGCGCAAGGCUAAACNCAAAGGAAUUGACGGCNGAGAGNGCGAGACGACGACGAGGAGAG